rnacentral:rRNA from 1 species
UACGUAGGGGGCGAGCGUUGUCCGGAUUUAUUGGGCGUAAAGAGCUCGUAGGCGGUUUGGCAAGUCGGGUGUGAAAACUCCGGGCUCAACUCGGAGACGCCACUCGAUACUGCUAUGACUCGAGUCCGGUAGGGGAGUGCGGAAUUCCUGGUGUAGCGGUGAAAUGCGCAGAUAUCAGGAGGAACACCGGUGGCGAAGGCGGCACUCUGGGCCGGAACUGACGCUGAGGAGCGAAAGCAUGGGGAGCAAACAGG